rnacentral:tRNA from 1 species
GCAUUGGUGGUUCAGUGGUAGAAUGCUCGCAUGCCACGCGGGCGACCCGAGUUCGACUUUCGGCAAGUGCA